rnacentral:rRNA from 1 species
UACGGGGGGGGUAAGCGUUGUUCGGAAUUACUGGGCGUAAAGAGCGCGUAGGCGGUCUGUUAAGUGUAGAGUGAAAUCUCCAGGGCUCAACCCGGAAACUGCUCUGCAUACUGGCAGACUGGAGUGAUGCAGAGGUUUGUGGAAUUCCUGGUGUAACGGUGAAAUGUGUUGAUAUCAGGAGGAACACCCAUGGCGAAGGCAGCAAACUGGGCAUUAACUGACGCUGAGGCGCGAAAGCGUGGGUAGCAAACAGG